rnacentral:rRNA from 1 species
AUGAACGCUGGCGGCGUGCCUAAUACAUGCAAGUCGAGCGAACGGACGAGAAGCUUGCUUCUCUGAUGUUAGCGGCGGCCGGGUGAGUAACACGUGGAUAACCUACCUAUAAGACUGGGAUAACUUCGGGAAACCGGAGCUAAUACCGGAUAAUAUUUUGAACCGCAUGGUUCAAAAGUGAAAGACGGUCUUGCUGUCACUUAUAGAUGGAUCCGCGCUGCAUUAGCUAGUUGGUAAGGUAACGGCUUACCAAGGCAACGAUGCAUAGCCGACCUGAGAGGGUGAUCGGCCACACUGGAACUGAGACACGGUCCAGACUCCUACGGAAGGCAGCAGUAGGGAAUCUUCCGCAAUGGGCGAAAGCCUGACGGAGCAACGCCGCGUGAGUGAUGAAGGUCUUCGGAUCGUAAAACUCUGUUAUUAGGGAAGAACAUAUGUGUAAGUAACUGUGCACAUCUUGACGGUACCUAAUCAGAAAGCCACGGCUAACUACGUG